UUGGAGGGCAAGUCUGGUGCCAGCAGCCGCGGUAAUUCCAGCUCCAAUAGCGUAUAUUAAAGUUGUUGCAGUUAAAAAGCUCGUAGUUGAACUUCGGGGUCUACCCAUUGGUCAGGCUUAAUUGUCUGCACUGGUGAGAUGGAUCUCUACCUUCUGAGGAACUUUCAUGCCAUUUAUUUGGUGUGAUGGGAAAUCAGGACUGUUACUUUGAAAAAAUUAGAGUGUUUAAAGCAGACUAUCGUCUGAAUACAUUAGCAUGGAAUAAUGAAAUAGGACGGACUGAUUCUAUUUCGUUGGUUUCUAGGAUCACCGUAAUGAUUAAUAGGGAUAGUUGGGGGCAUUAGUAUUCAAUUGUCAGAGGUGAAAUUCUUGGAUUUAUUGAAGACUAACUACUGCGAAAGCAUUUGCCAAGGAUGUUUUCAUUAAUCAAGAACGAAAGUUAGGGGAUCGAAGACGAUCAGAUACCGUCGUAGUCUUAACCAUAAACUAUGCCGACUAGGGAUCGGACGAAGUUAAUCUUAUAAUGACGCGUUCGGCGCCUUACGGGAAAC
rnacentral:rRNA from 1 species